AUAAAAAAAAUAACGACAGACCUCACUCCUCACUCCUGACAGCGCUCCACUCUCUCUCGACACAAACCCGAAACCUUUGCUCUAUCUCUUCUUCGACAAAGCUCUCUCUCUCUCUCUCUCUCUCUGUCUCUCCCUCCUCGACAAACCCCAACCAAAGCGCUCUCUCUCUUCGACAAAACCCGACCAAAACUUAAUGGGUAAUUCGAGCUCUACUCCGACCGGGCUCAGGCCAACAUCAAAUCCAAAAAUCUCACAGAGGCAGUAGAAAACCUAAUGGGUAACCUCUAGGGUUCUUCAGAUCUUUCGACAGUGGUGUGUUGCAUUUGGCGGAAUCGAAAUUUAGCUAUGGGUAACUGAGAUUUGAAUUCGAACAUUGGAGCUGUGGAUUUGGGAUUGAAGGCAAAAUGUCAAAUUGGGGCUAAGAAGGUAACUAAGAAGGUUUCUGGAGUUGUGAAGCUGCUGCCGAUGGGGCGGUUGGUUCAUGCACUUGACUCUUCACUGCUCUUCUCAAAUGACAACCUCCGAAUUUCGCCAAUCUCACACUCCAACCUGAGAUUUGCA